GACGAACGCUGGCGGCGUGCCUAAUACAUGCAAGUCGAGCGAAGUUUUUCUGGUGCUUGCACCGGAAAAACUUAGCGGCGAACGGGUGAGUAACACGUAAAGAACCUGCCUCAUAGACUGGGACAACUAUUGGAAACGAUAGCUAAUACCGGAUAACAGCAUUAACUGCAUGGUUGAUGUUUAAAAGUUGGUUUUGCUAACACUAUGAGAUGGCUUUGCGGUGCAUUAGCUAGUUGGUGGGGUAAAGGCCUACCAAGGCGACGAUGCAUAGCCGACCUGAGAGGGUGAUAGGCCACACUGGGACUGAGACACGGCCCAGACUCCUACGGGAGGCAGCAGUAGGGAAUCUUCCGCAAUGGGCGAAAGCAUGACGGAGCAACGCCGCGUGAGUGAAGAAGGAUUUCGGUUCGUAAAGCUCUGUUGUUAGGGAAGAAUGAUUGUGUAGUAACUAUACACAGUAGAGACGGUACCUAACCAGAAAGCCACGGCUAACUACGUG
rnacentral:rRNA from 1 species